rnacentral:tRNA from 1 species
CAGUAAAUAGUUUAAUAUAAAACAUAAGUUUUGGAGAUUUAAUAUAAGUAUAAUUGCUUUUUACUGA